rnacentral:sRNA from 1 species
ACCAGGUGUGGUGGCUCAUACCUGUAAUCCCAGUGACUGAGGAGGCUGAGGCAGGAGGAUCAUAAAUUUGAGGCUAGGGCCAGCAACUUAGUGAGAUCCUAUCUCAA